rnacentral:rRNA from 1 species
UACGUAGGUGGCGAGCGUUGUCCGGAAUGACUGGGCGUAAAGGGUGCGUAGGCGGCCGAUCAAGUUAGUAGUGAAAUACCCGGGCUCAACUUGGGUGCUACUACUAAGACUGAUUGGCUUGAGUGUGGGAGAGGUAAGUGGAAUUCCUAGUGUAGCGGUGGAAUGCGUAGAUAUUAGGAGGAACACUGGCGGCGAAGGCGGCUUACUGGACCACAACUGACGCUGAGGCACGAAAGCGUGGGGAGCAAACAGGAUUAGAUACCCUGGUAGUCCACGCCGUAAACGAUGGAUACUAGGUGUAGGGGGUUUCGACGCCCUCUGUGCCGUCGCAAACGCAAUAAGUAUCCCGCCUGGGGAGUACGGCCGCAAGGUUAAAACUCAAAGGAAUUGACGGGGACCCGCACAAGCAGCGGAGCAUGUGGUUUAAUUCGAAGCAACGCGAAGAACCUUACCAAGGCUUGACAUCCCCUGCAUAGGAUGGAAACAUCUGAAAUCGUAGCAAUACGACAGGGAGACAGGUGGUGCAUGGUC